UACGGGGGGAGCAAGCGUUGUUCGGAUUUACUGGGCGUAAAGGGCGCGUAGGCGGCGUGACAAGUCACUUGUGAAAUCUCCGGGCUUAACUCGGAACGGUCAAGUGAUACUGUCGUGCUAGAGUACAGAAGGGGCAACUGGAAUUCUCGGUGUAGCGGUGAAAUGCGCAGAUAUCAGGAGGAACACCAAUUGCGAAGGCAGCUCGCUGGGACGUUACUGACGCUGAGACGCGAAAGCGUGGGGAGCAAACAGG
rnacentral:rRNA from 1 species